rnacentral:tRNA from 1 species
GGGGGUGUGGCUCAGUGGUAAGAGUUCUUGCCUUGCAUGUACAAGGCCCUGGGUUUGAUCCCCAGCACCACAA